AACGAACGUUGGCGGCGUGGAUUAGGCAUGCAAGUCGAACGAAGACGGUUGGGUAGCAAUAUUUGACCGGACUGAGUGGCGAAAGGGGCAGUAAUGCGUGGGCAACCUACCUCCGGGAUGGGCAUAGCCGGCCUAACGGCCGGGUAAUUCCCAGCGAUUUGGCGAGGCGGCAUCGUCUUGCCAAGAAAUGGAUUCCGCCUGGAGAGGGGCUCACGUCGUAUUAGCUAGUUGGCGGGGAACGGCCCACCAAGGCGAAGAUGCGUAGCGGGUGUGAGAGCACGACCCGCGCCACUGGCACUGAGACACUGGCCAGACACCUACGGGUGCUGCAGUCGAGGAUCUUUGGCAAUGGGCGCAAGCCUGACCAAGCGACGCCGCGUGUGCGAUGAAGGCCUUGG
rnacentral:rRNA from 1 species